rnacentral:rRNA from 1 species
CCAAUAGCGUAUAUUAAAGUUGUUGCAGUUAAAAAGCUCGUAGUUGAAUUUCGGGAUCAGUACGCCGGUCGUGCCUCCGGUAUGUACUGGUGUUACUGGUUCCUACCUUCUGACGAACCGUCAUGUCAUUAAUUUGGUGUGGCGGGGAAUCAGGACUGUUACUUUGAAAAAAUUAGAGUGUUUAAAGCAGGCUCGCGCUUGAAUACAUUAGCAUGGAAUAAUGAAAUAGGACGUUCGAUCCUAUUUUGUUGGUUUCUAGGAUUGACGUAAUGAUUAAUAGGGAUAGUUGGGGGCAUUAGUAUUCAAUUGUCAGAGGUGAAAUUCUUGGAUUUAUUGAAGACUAACUACUGCGAAAGCAUUUGCCAAGGAUGUUUUCAUUAAUCAAGAACGAAAGUUAGGGGAUCGAAGACGAUCAGAUACCGUCGUAGUCUUAACCAUAAACUAUGCCGACUAGGGAUCGGAUGAUGUUAUUUUUAAUGACUCAUUCGGCGCCUUACG